rnacentral:rRNA from 1 species
UACGAAGGGGACUAGCGUUGUUCGGAAUCACUGGGCGUAAAGCGCACGUAGGCGGAUUUGUAAGUCAGGGGUGAAAUCCCGGGGCUCAACCUCGGAACUGCCUUUGAUACUGCGAAUCUCGAGUCCGAUAGAGGUGGGUGGAAUUCCUAGUGUAGAGGUGAAAUUCGUAGAUAUUAGGAAGAACACCGGUGGCGAAGGCGGCCCACUGGAUCGGUACUGACGCUGAGGUGCGAAAGCGUGGGGAGCAAAC